rnacentral:tRNA from 1 species
GGGUCGAUGCCCGAGUGGUUAAUGGGGGCGGAUUGUAAAUCCGCUGGCACAGCCUACGCUGGUUCAAAUCCAGCUCGGCCCA